ACUACAAAUACAUACAAAAAUCUGGAUGAAAUGCACAAAUAUAAUUUUGAGUAAAAGAAGCCAGAUAGCCAGGUGUAAAAGCAUACAUACUGUGUGAGUCUACACAGAGUUCAAAAGCUGGACAAACUUAUCUACAUGUUGGAAGGGAGGUUGGUAGUUACCCUUGGGGAGUUGACUUGGGGAUGUGAGAACAUUUUGGGGGCUAGGGGCCGAGGUAGGGGCUGGAAAUGUUGAGUGUCUUCAGCUCAUUGCCGGUUACACAGGAGUGUGUUUGGUUUGGGAGAAUUCGUUGAGCUAUACACGUAUGACUUGUACAUGUUUCUUCAUGUAUGUUAUAUAUUAACUGAAUGUAUUUAAAAAUAUUUAUGGGGUCCUGCUACUUAUAAACUGGACUUGACUCCAGGAAGCCAUCAGAAUCAAGAGAGAGCGAGGACGUGGCAUCACGGAGAGAUCUACAUUCCAGGUCAUGCCGUGGACCUGGUGGGUGGCCUCAGGACUUGAAGUGGAACCAUACAUUGGCUCUCCUGAGUCUCCACCUUCUUGACUGCAGAUUUGGGACUUCUCAGCCUCCAUAAAUGUUUUUCUUCUCCUAGGAUCCAGUCCUGAGAUCUCAGCUGCCAGCUAUUCCUGGAUAAGCAAAUGCUCUCAGGGGAAAGAGUCCUUGAUCCUCUGUGUUCAUGGAGGUAACCAACCAAGCUAGUCUGCCUGGGACUGAGCAGAUUCUUGGCACACAGGACUUUCUGCUUUAAAACAGAAAUAGCGCCAGGCACGGUGGCUCAUGCCUCAGUAUUUUGGGAGUCCAAGGCGGGCGGAUCAC